CUUGGCUGUGGGGGUGUCUCACCGGUCUGUAGCUCAUGGUCAACUCCCACUGUUGUCAAAAUGUCAACAUCGUGAGUCUGGGCUUCACCAGGGGAAAAGAGCUUCUUCUGCUCCAUCUCCUUUCCUGGAGUACCACUCUGCCUCUCUCUGUGCUGCUCCAUAAUGUGCUGAGCUCAGAAACUUCCAGAUGCUAAUUAUAGUGACCUCGGGACCACAUCCAUAGGCCUGUCUGUCUGCAGCAGGAUGAUUCAGUGUUUUCCACAUGACUGGAGACCUUGGAACUGUGUUCACUCAUGUGCCUGUCUGCCAAGGCCUGAUUUGGUGUUUUCUGAGUUUCUGGCGACCUCGGGACAGCAUCUGCAGAUCUGCCUUCUGCAGUAGGCUGAUUCAGUGUUUUCCACAUGACUGGCAACCUCAGAACCACAUCCACAGGUCUGCCUGUCUUUAGCAGCCUGAUUUGGUGUUUUCCUUGUGACUGGGGACCUCAGGACAGCAUCUGCAGACCUGCCUGUCUGCAGCAGGCUGAUUCAGUGUUUUCCCCAUGACUGGCAACCUCGGGACAGUGUCCACAGACAUGCCUGUCUGCAGCAGGCCGAUUUGGUGUUUUCAAUGCAAUUGCUGAGCUCCAGACUGUGUCCGCAGACAUGCCUGUCUGCAGCGGGCUGCUUCAGUGUUUUCCCUGUGACUGGCCACCUCGGGACAGUGUGUGCAGAUCUGCCUUUCUGCAGUGGGCUGAUUUGGUGUUUUCUGCCUGGCUGGCGACCUUGGGACUGUGUCCGCAGACCUGCUUGUCUCUAGCAGGCUUGUUUGUUGUUUUCCACGUGACUGGCGACCUCGGGACAGCAUCUGCAGACCUGCAUUUUCUGCAGUCUGAUUUGGUGUUUUCCACAUGACUGGUGACCUCAGGACCUCGUGCGCAGACAUGCCUGUCUGCAGCAGGCUGAUUUGGUGUUUUCCUCAUGACUGGUGACCUCAGGACUGCGUCCGCAGACCUACCUGUCUACAGCAGGCUGAUUCAGUGUUUUCUGCAUGACUGGCGACCUCGGGACUGGGUCUGCAGACCAGCCUGUCUGCAGUGGACUGAUUUGGUGUUUUCCGCACAACUUAUGACCUCGGUACCACACUCGCAGACCUGCCUUCUGCAGCGGGCUGAUUCAGUGUUUUCUGCAUGACUGGCAUCCUUGGGACAGCGUCCGCAGACACGCCUGUCUGCAGCGGGCUGAUUCGGUGUUUUCAGCAUGACUGGUGACUUUGGGACCACAUCUGCAGACCUGCCUGUCUGGAGUGGGCUGAUUUGGUGUUCUGUGGGACUGGUGACCUCCUGGCUGCCUCUGCAGACCUGCCUGUCUUCAUCGGGCUGAUACGUUGUUUUCAGCACGACUGGCGACCUUGGUACCACAUCCGCAGACCUGCCUGUCUUCAGCGGGCUGAUUUGGUGUUUUUCGCGUGACUGGCGACCUCAUGACCGCCUUCGCAGACCUGCCUGUCUGCAGAGGGCUGAUUUGGUAUUUUCAGCAUGACUGGCGACCUCGGG
ensembl:lncRNA